rnacentral:rRNA from 1 species
UACAGAGGGUGCGAGCGUUAAUCGGAAUUACUGGGCGUAAAGCGCACGUAGGCGGCUUGGUAUGUCGGGGGGGAAAUCCCCGGGCUCAACCUGGGAACUGCAUCCGAAACUGCCUUGCUAGAGUAUGGGAGAGGGAAGUGGAAUUUCCGGUGUAGCGGUGAAAUGCGUAGAUAUCGGAAGGAACAUCAGUGGCGAAGGCGACUUCCUGGACCAAUACUGACGCUCAGGUGCGAAAGCGUGGGGAGCAAACAGG